UUGGCGAGCCGGGUCGUCGCUAUGGCAAUGAGGAGCUGCCACCUGUCCCUCCGAGGGAUUCGGUCCACCUGAGGCCUAAGGCGGCGGCGGCCGGGAGGAGCCCGAGGCCCCGAGGGCUCCGCACUGUACUAUCGGCUGCCUGCGGGCGAGAAAGGCGCUUCAGGAACCGGGAAGGACAGGAGAGUUAGGUUGUGAGGGAAGCCGUUCCCGCGGGUUCCACAGCCCGCACUGGGGCUGCGGACCUUCUCCUUGGGUUUCAGAGCCCGGGGCUUCCUCCUGCUCCUAACCGCCCGGGAGAGCUUUACUGUGCGCAGCCCCCCCCACCCCCGGGACUGCCUACGAUCUUCGAGCCAUCCCUCUGAAGGAAGCAAUUGCAGGCCAUGGCUUAAGUUUCUGGCAGUGUCUGAGAGAAGGGAAGAUUCUCUCUCUUACUUUUGGAGGACAAGAAAUCUUUCGAAGAUGCUGGGGCGGCAGUGAAGUCGGGCAGAAUUCUGAGGUGGAGAGCUGGCCCAGGCAUCAUGCCAAGCUGAGUUGGGCAAAGUGAAGGGGCAUCACAGCCAGGCUGUUAUUCUUUGGUGUCUCACUCUGGUCCCGCAAAAUUAUCAGUUUGCAGGAGGCUGCAGGGCGCUGGUGGAGAGCAAGCCCUGACCCCAGACUCAGGAAUGCUCCUCUCCUUGAUCAGCCUAAAGCUCCAGAGGAGUGAGGAGCAAGAGAACUCAUGCUAGGCCUCCUCUGCCUCAUCCGCCCCUCCACACCCUGGUCCAGUCCCAUCAGGAUUGAUUGGAAAAUUGGGUUGCUCCUCCGCAGCCGACCCAAGCUGUAAUGCCACCCUUGGCCAGUAGGUGCCGCCAUCUAACAUACCAUCCUCCAGCCCGCAAACGCCUGACCCUGGAGAGCCUACUCAAGGAACCCAGUGCC